rnacentral:sRNA from 1 species
GACGCGUCCAGUGGGCGGGAGACGCCGUA